rnacentral:rRNA from 1 species
UACGAAGGGGGCUAGCGUUGUUCGGAAUUACUGGGCGUAAAGCGCACGUAGGCGGACUAUUAAGUCAGGGGUGAAAUCCCGGGGCUCAACCCCGGAACUGCCUUUGAUACUGGUAGUCUCGAGUCCGAGAGAGGUGAGUGGAAUUCCGAGUGUAGAGGUGAAAUUCGUAGAUAUUCGCAAGAACACCAGUGGCGAAGGCGGCUCACUGGCCCGGUACUGACGCUGAGGUGCGAAAGCGUGGGGAGCAAACAGG